rnacentral:rRNA from 1 species
CAGCAGCCACGGGAACACGAAGGGGGCUAGCGUUACUCGGAAUUACUGGGCGUAAAGGGCGCGUAGGCGGCACGAUUAGUCAGGCGUGAAAUUCCUGGGCUCAACCUGGGGACUGCGCUUGAUACGGUCGAGCUAGAGGAUGGAAGAGGGUUGUGGAAUUCCCAGUGUAGAGGUGAAAUUCGUAGAUAUUGGGAAGAACACCGGUGGCGAAGGCGGCAACCUGGUCCAUUACUGACGCUGAGGCGCGACAGCGUGGGGAGCAAACAGGAUUAGAUACCCCGGUAGUCCCUGUCUCUUAUAC